CUACCCUUGACAUGGCAGGAAUCCCGAAGAGAUUUGGGAGUGCUCGCAAGAGAACCUGCACACAGGUGCUGCAUGGCUGUCGUCAGCUCGUGUCGUGAGAUGUUGGGUUAAGUCCCGCAACGAGCGCAACCCUUGUCAUUAGUUGCUACGAAAGGGCACUCUAAUGAGACUGCCGGUGACAAACCGGAGGAAGGUGGGGAUGACGUCAAGUCCUCAUGGCCCUUAUGGGUAGGGCUUCACACGUCAUACAAUGGUACAUACAGAGGGCCGCCAACCCGCGAGGGGGAGCUAAUCCCAGAAAGUGUAUCGUAGUCCGGAUUGUGGUCUGCAACUCGACUACAUGAAGUUGGAAUCGCUAGUAAUCGCGGAUCAGCAUGUCGCGGUGAAUA
rnacentral:rRNA from 1 species